rnacentral:lncRNA from 1 species
GCUACCUGGCGUGUUUCGCCCUUCAGUGGAUCGUGUUUCUCGUCUCCCGUGUGCAUCGGCGGUUCCUUUCCAAACCCAGUGCGCCGUGAGGGCUCGGAGCCGCCUCGAGGGCGUCGUAGGUGAGCAUUCGCCCGUCCCAGUCCGAGCCGCUGUGUGCGGCCUGGUCUUGCUGUCCAGGGCUGUUCUGGUGCAGGGGAGAUGCACGCGCUUCUGCCUGCGCGCGCCGGCGGGCCGGGCGUGGACCUCUUCUUUCUUCGAGUUUCGGAUGCUUUCUGUACACGUUUUCCCCGGGGCCGUCUUGGGGCGCUGCGAGGGAUGAGGGUCCGGUACCCCAAUUGCGGGUUUCCUUGUAGCGUGUAGAUAAAACCUCUACCAGCUUGUCGUGGAAGGUGAUAGGUAAAUAGAGGCCUCUGUGCUGUGCUGCGGGUCCCUUCUCGCUCGCAUUUGGGACUUUUCUAUGAAGUAGUGUAUCUCGUGCUUCCCUACCUGGUGUACCUAAGCCGGGAUUUCUGUGAUGGCUGUGAUUUUAUAGUCUUUUGUCUUUAGGGCCUAACAUUUGGCAAGGUUUUGUUGUAAGUCACAUAACGGAUCUUAGGUAUUGUGUAAAGGAUUCGUUUGCGUAUUGAGAACCAUGAUAUAUAACCAGCAAAUAUCUCGAUGUGUAAGUGAAAGAAAAAGAGACAAAGACAAAUUUUAGUUUGUGGAAACAGAGAUGACAAUAAGUCCCAAGCCAGGAUGAGCUAUUAUUUGAUAAGAGAUCAGCAGGUUCUCUGUUUUUCAGGUUGCAUUUCAUAUGCUUGUAAGGGUCAGCUUAUGAUAAUAUCAGGAUUGAUUUUAAUGUGAGUUUAAUGUUUAGUUUGGUCUUGUUCAUUUACAAGGUAUAUAGGUUUAUCUAAUCUUCCCUUUAGUGAGCUACCAAGCCUGAAGGUAGGGGAGAAAGUGGAUCAAUGGUCAGAAUUUUGGGACAUGAUCAAAGUUGUAUGAAAGCACCUCUUAGAACAUGUGUGGGUGGAGUCAAGGGAGGUGCAGUUGGAGGUGCCAAAGGAAGGCUGUUAGCAGAUUAUGAUCCUAGAAACAUUUGGAAGAUGUUUCCUAACUUUGAAAGCAUUGAGAAAACUACAGGACUGUGUAACUCCAAAAAGUUAAAUGAGUGAGCAGUGUCAGAAUGACAAUUUAGAGAAGUCGGUUUUCAUGCUAAAAGAAUUGGGGCAUUAGAGAGAUUAAUGAGUUUGCCUUUUUACCAAGUGACCAUGGAGGCCAGAAGAAGGCAUGGGGUUCCCUGGAAUUGGAGUUAUAGAUAGUUGUUAUCUGCUGUGUAGGUGUUGGGAACUGAACUCAGGUCCUCUGGAAGAGCAGCCAGUGUUCAUUAACCUCUGAGCAGUCUUUCCAGACCUGAACUCGGUAAUUCUUUUAAAAACUCAGAUUGCCUUGCUGUGUUUUAUCAGUCAGGGUCCAGUAGAGGCCAGACAGUAUUUCAGCAGGAUUAUUAUGAAGAAUUACUUAAACUGCUAUAGGAGG